rnacentral:sRNA from 1 species
CAUUUUGUCUUGUCGGCUCCUGUGUGUAGGAGGAUUUUCGGCCUGAGAGCGCGCCGAGGAGAUUGGCGACGGUGUCGCCCGUGUUUUCGUUGGCGGGUGCCUGGGCUGGUGGGAACAGCCGCCCGAAGGAAGCACCAUGAUUUCGGCCGCGCAGUUGUUGGAUGAGCUAAUGGGCCGGGACCGAAACCUAGCCCCGGACGAGAAGCGCAGCAACGUGCGGUGGGACCACGAGAGCGUUUGUAAAUAUUAUCUCUGUGGUUUUUGUCCUGCGGAAUUGUUCACAAAUACACGUUCUGAUCUUGGUCCAUGUGAAAAAAUUCAUGAUGAAAAUCUACGAAAACAAUAUGAGAAGAGCUCUCGUUUCAUGAAAGUUGGCUAUGAGAGAGAUUUUCUGCGAUACUUACAGAGCUUACUUGCAGAAGUAGAACGUAGGAUCAGACGAGGCCAUGCUCGUUUGGCAUUAUCUCAAAACCAGCAGUCUUCUGGGGUAAGUGAAAUCAAUUCAGUCUUUGUAAAGGGUCCUUGUUUUCUGG